CCCUUAGAUGUCCUGGGCCGCACGCGCGCUACACUGAGUGUCUGAGAUACGAGUCUGCCUGGUCCGGCAAGGUCUAGGUAAUCGCUAAAAGACACAUCAUGCUUGGGAUAGAUUAUUGCAAAUAUUAAUCUUGAACGAGGAAUUCCUAGUAAGCGCAAGUCAAAAGCUUGCGUUGAUUACGUCCCUGCCCUUUGUACACACCGCCCGUCGCUACUACUGAUUGGAUGUUUAAGCGAGGUUCUCGAACUGCUAGCGACUUAGCUUCGGUGAGGUCGCAGUGUGGGAAGUGAACCGAGCUUUGGUGUCUAGAGGAAGUAAAAGUCGUAACA
rnacentral:rRNA from 1 species